CCUACGGGAGGCAGCAGUGAGGAAUAUUGGUCAAUGGACGAGAGUCUGAACCAGCCAAGUAGCGUGAAGGAUGACUGCCCUAUGGGUUGUAAACUUCUUUUAUAUGGGAAUAAAACGUUCCACGUGUGGGAUUUUGUAUGUACCAUAUGAAUAAGGAUCGGCUAACUCCGUGCCAGCAGCCGCGGUAAUACGGAGGAUCCAAGCGUUAUCCGGAUUUAUUGGGUUUAAAGGGAGCGUAGGUGGAUUGUUAAGUCAGUUGUGAAAGUUUGCGGCUCAACCGUAAAAGUGCAGUUGAAACUGGCAGUCUUGAGUACAGUAGAGGUGGGCGGAAUUCGUGGUGUAGCGGUGAAAUGCUUAGAUAUCACGAAGAACUCCGAUUGCGAAGGCAGUUCACUGGACUGCAACUGACACUGAGGCUCGAAAGUGUGGGUAUCAAACAGGAUUAGAUACCCGGGUAGUC
rnacentral:rRNA from 1 species